rnacentral:snRNA from 1 species
UCUGUCAUUGCAUAUAUCCAUAU